UCUCUCUCCUCACGCGGCAUUUUCCUGUCCCCCCCUCGCCUCUCUGUGGCUAUGGCCUCGCUGCUGCUGCUGCCUCUCUGAUGUUGUCUCUUUACCGAUUUUCCUCCCCAUUCUACUCAUCCUAUUUCCCUCCCCUUCCUCUUCCGCUCACUUGUGUUGUUCAUGGGUUUGGUCUGUGACCAUCGAUGUGUUUUUAGAUAGGAGACACGCGCAACUCAGUGAAGUGUGGACGAGGAGGAAGAGCUACAGAGCGGCAGGUGAGGGCGAGCAGUAGUGGUGAGGAAGGGUUGGGGAGUGGCUGGCGGAUCUUGUGGAUUGUGGGAGAUGGAGGACUUCGCCAAUAUAUUGCAGCGGAACUAUGGGCUGAAACCUGGCGGCAAGAGCGCGCCUAUGGCGGGGGGCCAUGGCCGAGCUGGAUCGACCGGAGGGAGCAUGGGUAGGUCUGGAUCUGCACCUAGGAUGGCUAACAACGACGACGUUUUCAACUCGGUCUUCAACUCUUCGCCCGCUAACGGGACCGGCGUUAGGCGCAGCAAUUCAGGAGCUGGAUACGAUGACGUUUUUGGGGGACCUCCAAUGGCAACGAACUCGUCCAAUGAUGCCUUUGGUGACCUCUUGGGAGGAUUCAACGCUUCAGGAUCAAGGCCACAACCAAGUCAAAACUCCUUUACUGAUGAUUUAUUGGGAGGAUUUAGUGCCUCCAAGCCACCACAAUCAACUGCUCACACUCCGUCCAGUUCUUUGGAUGAUAUAUUUUCUGGAGGAUAUGGUCGUACUAGAACUUCAUCGCAGACUAGUUCUGUGAGUCAGAAGGUAGACGACCCAUUCAGUACGUUCAGCAUGCCGAGGCCCGCGCCAAAGGUAACCCAAUCUCAGACAAUGUUUGAUAAUGAUUGGGACUUCAGUGCCUCUAAACCUGCACCGAGAGGAGGAACGCUGCACGCUUCUUUCGAUGGUGACCUUUUGGGAGGAUUUUCGACGUCUACAGGUCGUCCUAAGCAACCAGUGUCAAACCAACCUCAACACUCUAGCCCGCCUCGAUCCAGGCAUUCUGAACCUCUGUUCGAUGACUAUGCACCAGGUUUUGGCGGUGGCGACCAAGGAAAAAAGAAACCUGUUGCAGACGCAGAUGCAAUGCGGGGCAUUCCAAUCAUAAACACAGAUGAUGACGAUGUGUUUAGUAACAUCCCCAGCUCAACACCAGCUCCUCCAUCAGAUCCUUUCGGCAGCAUCCCCCCUGCCAAGGCCACUGUUGAUGCUGAUGCAUCUCGAGGAGUACCUCUUGUGACUCCCCUGGAUGCUGACGAGAUGCGUGGAAUUCCGACUAUGAAUACCUCCCCGACACUUGAUGAUGAUCCAUUCUCUUCUGCCGUAGAGGAAGACCCUUUUGCUAAGAUUAUUAAAGACUCAGCUCCUCCUGCUUAUGCGGAUCCAUCAGAUCCUUUCUACAUACCUCCUGCUUCUGGAUCUUCCAGUAGUAAUACAACAGACGUAUCAAAGAAUCAGGAUGAUAAUGGAAGUGGACCGGUUGAUCCUUUCGACGGAUUUCCUCAUCCCUCACCUGUGGCCACGUCACAGUCCAAUGAGGAUACAGCAUCAAAUCGCUCUCUUUUUCAUGGCAGAGAAGGUUCUCAAGAUUCAGGAACUUGGGAUGAGAAGUCGUCAAGGAGGGACUUCGGCAGCGUUCCAUUUAACGUGAAUCCCAAGGAAACUCCCGAAGUUGCAUCGCCCACUUACCCAUCAGGUAGGUAUGAAGCCACGGCGGAAUCAGAGUCGAAUGGCUUUGUGCCAAAGUUCGAUAGCGAGCCAAAGUUUGACGAGCCUUCCUUAGGAGCUAAUAAGAAGCAUGAUACUGACAAAGUGCCUGUAGACAUUUUUGAAGAGAAUUGGCUGACCGUUGACGAUGUCAAGCUUACAACAUCGCCUUCUAGAGCACGCCCCCCUUCACGAGCUCCUCCUAGGCCUGGUUCUGACAGGACAAGGAUCCCAAGGAGUUCUGGAAUCCACAAGGACAGUGUAGGUGAAAGAAGUAGGGGAAGAUCUGACGAGUUUCCAGUGUAUGGAAGUAGACCAAAUGGUUCAGAUGUUUCGAAGGAGGCUGAAUUGGCUAGAGAACGAGCCGCGGCUAGAGAAAGAGAAGCGUCCUUGGUGCAGAAGGAACGUGAGGCUGCAGAGCGGGAAAGAGCUGGGAUGCAGAAAGAGCGUGAACGACAGCGAGAAAGGGAGAGACAGAUGGACCGCCUGAGGGAGCAGGAGGCUGGUGAGGCUGGAGAGAGGGCCAAGAAAGCAGCAGAAAAGGCUGCUCAGGAAGCACAAUACAGGGUGGAGAAAGCUGCUGCAGAGAGGGCGAUUGCCGAGGCACGUGAGCGGGCAGAGAGGGCAUCAGCAGCUCGGCAAACUGAUGAGAGUGCGGAAAGAGCCAAAAAAGCAGCAGAAAGAGCUGCCCAGGAAGCACAGCACAGGAUGGAGAAAGCUGCUGCUGAGAGGGCGAUUGCCGAAGCACGCGAGCGCGCAGAGAGGGCCGCACUGCAGAGAGCAGCUGCAGCGAGAGAUGGUGCUCGAGAAAAGGAGCAGCGAGAGAAGGACCAAAAGGAAAGAGAGGAGCGAGCAAGGGCAAAAGAAGAACGACAAAGGGAGAAGGAAAGGCGGGAGAAGGAGGAGAGAGAGAAAGAAAGAGAGCGGGACAGAGAGCGUGACCGGAGGAGGGAAAGAGAAAGAGGUGCGGCUGAACCAUCUCGGUCUGCUGGUGCAAGUAGUCGGGCAACUAGUGAGCCAAAACAGCGACCGCCUAACCAUCAACCUGCUGCUUCUUUUGGUGGCGAUGUUCGACGGCCCUCGCCUUCAAAUCCUGUGUACUCCUCUACGGGAAGCUCCCCAGCUCCUACUCCACCCGUCAGGAAACCUCAACCUCAACCAAAGGUUGUCGAUGAUUGGACAACUUUACUGACACAGACUGCACCAACAGGUGAUGAAUUUCAAGAGAUACCGGGAGAGAGUGCUGAGAGAACCAAAGCGAGGCUUGAGAGGCAUCAAAAAGCGUUAGAGCGUGCGCAACAGGCGCUGAGGGAAAAGAAUGAACGCGAUCAGGCCCAGCUGAGGGAACAAGCCGAAAGGAGUAUGGCCGCUGGAAAUUUGGACGCUGAAAUACGGCGCUGGGCAACUGGCAAAGAAGGCAAUUUGCGAGCAUUACUCUCGUCCUUGCAUUUGAUACUGUGGCCAGAUACCAACUGGAAACCCGUGUCUUUGACGGACUUAAUCACAGGUAUUUCUGUGAAAAAGUCCUAUCAGAGAGCGAUUCUUUGUGUUCACCCUGACAAGGUGCAGCAGAAAGGGGCUACCGUGCAACAAAAAUAUAUUGCAGAGAAGGUUUUUGAUCUUUUAAAAGAGGCCUUCGCAAAAUUCAAUUCCACUGAAUUAUAUUGAGCUAGUGCUACUGGUGGACAUCUUACCUUAGCAAACCCGGACGCUGAUUGUGGGCUGGAUUUUCGGAAAUUUUCCUGGUAUAUAGAGGAGUUCAGAGAUGCCGGCAAGGACAGUUCUCAUUGUCCUGUUGCCUCUACUGAACAAUCAGCUUGAGGUCUUCCCACGCAGGAAGAAGAAUGAAGACUGUAACUUUAGAUCGCAUUCGAUAUUCGAUGGGGGGUCUGAGGAUUUUGAAUUGGAUUCCUACUAAGACUUUCAAUCCACCUAGUGGAUGGUGAUUCUUGACCAUUUAAAAUGUUGCCUCAGAAACUGGUAGACUGGAAUCUUCUUACUCCCCUCUGUUCAUAAAUCUAGCUGGCAGUCGGGUUUUUUAACUCACCAUUGAUUCUAGAGGCUAGAAAGUUUCUAUUCAAGCUGUGCCACUUAUAGGUGGUAUGGAAGUUCCAUUCUCUUACAGGACGAAGAUGAGUAAUGUAAUUGCUGCGACAUUCAGUAACGUCUACGUGGACAACUACUUUGCAAGUGGCAUUUCCACCGAGUGGUCCAGGGCCGGCUUCCCAACACAAUAGGAGGUGAUGGAUGCUUCACUUCUGUGCGAGUCAUGGAUUGUGGUGGGUUUUCUGUGCGAGUCAUGGAUUGUCUACAUCCUAAAGAUUGUCUACAACAUCCUCCAUACAGGGCUUAUUCCACGAUAUGGGGGCAUUGCAUGUGCCUUCAAUGAAACCACAAGGACAAUUAUAAAUGGGAGGCCAGUACGCCUCUUUCCAUCUGUGUUAAUUAGACCAAAAUGCCAGAUAUAACUACUGUAUUGUUCAUUUGCUUUUCUUUGUUUAUUUUCUUUUUAAAAUAAUGAUUGCCA